rnacentral:lncRNA from 1 species
CUACCCUUGCCUUUGAUCCUUGUCUUUGUUAUUCUCUAUGAAGUAACGUGUGCUAUUAUUACAUUUUUCAACAGUACUUAACAGUGUUCCUUUUGUUUUUAUUAUUCUCAAGAAUAAAAUUGACAUUUUAAAAAUUAAUUAUUCAAUUAAAAUGAAUAAACUGGCAUAUUACAAAAUUUAAUAUACUCCAACAGCUCAUUAAAUCGAAAAGCUAAAAUAUCUAUCUCGGGCUAAUAUGAAAGGCUAUAUGACUCUCAGUUAUUUACAAUGGGUGCUAAUUAAGCACUUUGACUGAUGUAUUGGUAUAACUGACUGUUUUUGAGUUUCUCUUAGCUCUACAGAAAUUUUCAAAUGUGAGAGCAAGAGGAUGGACUGAGCUAAUGUUAGAUACCCUCUUUAUAUCCAAGAAAAUAGGAGCCACUCAUUUUGUUUGUUCCGAUUACAUUUUCUCUUUCAUUUAAAGGUUGUUUUAAUGUUUCUAGUAAGAAAUAAAAAAUACUAGAGGCUUCUGAUCUCAUUAGAAGAUGCAGAAAGCUGAAAAGAGUGUCUUUCCCAAUGGGAAAUUUUCAAAUUCAUGGCAUCCCUUUGAAACCACCAGAAAUCUGAGGUCAAAGGGUAACCAACCAACCUGUACUCUGGAGACAGAGGACUCCAGGGAGAAGCCAGUUCUAAACACUAGAUUCCUGGAGACAAAUGACACCAAUGGCAUAUAAACUGAUUGAGUACAGAAACUGGAAAUACUGUCUUGUCUGAAAGAACCAAAAAGUGAAAAAAAAACACAUUACAAAAAAGUAAGCAAGAUAUUGGACACCAGGCAACAAAAGUGAUCACUGAGAGAUGAGGAUGUGAGGUGAACACUCCAAUUCUGACUCUGUAUGGAGUUUGCAGGUACCAUGCAGGGACAGGAGCGCCCUUGGAGCCUACUGGAUGCCCUGAGUUGAGCUAGGAAUCCAGCGAAAGUAAGGGGGGGCCAGAGUUCUUGGGACAGAGUACCAGAGUGAACAGAACUAUGCAGAAAAUGAAACCUAGAGGUCUGCAUAGAGACCCACUUGAGUAUAUAACUGCUGAUCAGGGCAUGGCUGUGAGGAAAUCACUUGGGUCCAGAGGAAAAAAUCUUCCCAAAGGAUGAGAGGUAACAGUACCCAGUGUUCACAGAGGGCCUGUCCCACCAUGGAGACUCAAAAAAUAAUCUCAAAAUCCUUGGGGACUGUAUUAACAAUAGAUGUUAAAAAGAAUGGGUGCAAGUUUGAUGAGAAAUAGUAUAACUAUGUAGUCUUAAAAUAUCUCCCCUUAAAUACAAAGGGAAACAAUAGUAAACUAUAGUUGGAAGAACCUGCCAGAAUAAACUUAAGCAAAUGAAUUCACCAAGAUACUUUUAAAAAAUUACUUGAAUGUUAUGCCAACUGAUUAUGUCUUAUUAUUUCCCAGGAAGCCAAUAAGACAAAGCAGUGAAGCUAAUACACCUUUCUUGGUUUAAUGCUUAUGUCUGGCUUUUUAUAUGAAGCUGUUCUUCUGAAACAUAAGACUGGCAAACCCUCAAUUGUGGCAAGAAGGUAAUGAGAAAGCAAAAAAGAAAUGAAUGUGUGGGCCACUGACCAGGACAAGUUCUCAGGGUUCUGAGAGCAAACACACAGAGUUGGGUUGAACAGUCUCUUGUGCUAUCCAUGUCAAAAAAGAAUGGAUAUAUGUAUAUGUAUAACUGAAUUACUUUGCUGUAUCCCUGAAACUAAUACUAUAUUGUAAAUCAACUAUAUUUCAAUAAAAAAUAAAAUUAGACAAUCUAAAUGAUUUUGCAAAACUUAAGUUGUUCCUGGAUGGCUCUGCAGUUUGAACUUCUGCCUUGCGUGCUUCUGCCAAAUUUUAAAUUGAUCUUAGAAUGUCUCAUUUGUUUCUCUUGGAUACUUUGAAAUCUAUUUUAAUCAAAUGGGAAAGUAAACCAAAAUCAAAUUUUAAAUGAUUUGGCCCUCUUUCUUUCUAUCACUCUCUCUCCAAGAUUGCACUUGCCUGCUUUGUCAUACUUUGCCCAUGUAAAAUCCAUCCAGUUUAGCUUGAUCUAAUUCACUGAUGCAACUGGAAUCUGCUUUGCUCAGUUUCUAUUGAAUGAAAAUAGGAAGAAAUAAUGGACUCUAUUCACAAGGUCUGGGCUUUGCUUAAAAUAGGACCCCCUCAGUGGGAGCUGUGCCAUACCUGGCUGCUUUGUCUCAGCUCUGUUGGACUGUGAAUUGGCUCUGCAAUGUAUUUCUGCUUAUCCAGCUUGUUUUCCUUGGUUGUUUUAUGAAUCAGCAUCUGAUUCUCUCUGUCUUGGCUUUAUUGAAAAACCCCACACUGCUUUUGGUUGUGCCACUCAGAAGAGUAAGAAAGAGGAUAUAUUCAAAGCAAACUCUGGGAGCAAAUUUGAUAGCUAUAGUGAAUAAAUACCAAAGUUUCAUUUAAAUGACUGACGCAUGCUCUGAAAAAUACUCCUAAGAAUUUAAGCAGAGAAAAUUAAUGUGUAUUUUGCCAGGCAGAAUGGUUUGCGAGUUUUUCUGUAUUUAAAGGUGUGGGAAAUGUGCAUGGGGGUCCGAUUGUUACUACUUUCAAGAUACGAAUAUGAACUGCAACAGUAUAAUCCCAUUAACUAAUGUUUUGAUUAUUUUACCCCACUUAAAGGGUGGUCUACUGCAACUUCUUACAACUUUAGAACAACAUAGGGACAAGUGGUCAGAUAACUAUGGAGGGAGAGAUAUGUUUUUAAACCACUAGUACUGCUGGUCCAUCUCCUUCACUGUAUGACAGCUGAGACUAGAACAUGGAGCUGUAAUGUUUUUAAGUUCCUCACCUGUGAGAUGGCCAAUUAAUUGAAGACCUACUUAGGAUAAAUACAAAUUUUUCUUGUUUGUUUGUUUUCUUCAGCAGUACUCUUCUAGACCCUUUUAUCUAUCUUCUAAAUACCUCUAUCUCUUCUCUUUUCUAACUCUACACUUAAUAAACCAAGGUACUGGGUGCUUUGAGAUCUUUUCCAAGGCCCCCAAGUGUUAAAGAUGAGAAAAGAAUGUUCUCACUAGCUCAAAGGCACUCAAGUUAUUUAGUAUGAGAAAACCCCUACCUGAAAGUUUAUGAAAAUAUUUUGAUAGCAGAUCAGGAUUGUCCUUUUUAUAUUGAGUGCAUUUCUGAUAUCCUAAGGAAUCAGAAAGAAAAGCAACUAUUAAACUGAUUUGUAGUAACUUGGGAGGUUUUAUAAAUUUGAGGCAACCAAGUGGUCACAUAUAAAAGAUGGAAAAAUGUCCCACCAACAAGUAAUGUUCAAAAGUAUACAUUGAUGUCCCUGGGUUUUAUCUCUUUAAAAAGGAAUAAACAUUUCUUAAAAAUCUCAUUUCUGGCAUGAAGAUGAGAAACAAACAAUAUCAGAAGUAGCCAAUCAGGAGAGACUGAAUCAAUCAGUUUUCAAAUAAACAAAUCUUAGUUUUGGUCAUCCUUCCCUCCUAUUCUUGUGAAUGUUUGACAUUUGAAUAGGUCAUCCAUAACCCCUAGGAGAACUGACCUUCUUGAAAUGUCACAGAACUUGUAUCAUACGAAUAUCCUAGCUUGGGAGCCUCUACAUUCAACCAAGGGAGAAUGGACAAAAGCACCAUAAGGUAGUAAGACAGCACAAAUUACUAUUUGGUGAUUCUUUUCAAACAGACAUGAAAGACAAACAUCUAUAAUUUUAGCUCAAGGGAAAUGCAAAGAAAGAAGGAAACUGUGGUAGCAAGAAUAUUAAAAUGACCCCAGUGACCCUUGCUCUUAUACAUGUCAUCUCCUUUCCUUCUGUGUGGGUGAAAUUUAUAACUGUAAGAAGUUACUACUCAUUAUACAGCAAAAGAGGUUUUACAGAAUUAAGAGUACUGAUUCAUUGACUUUGAGCUAAUCAAAAGAGAGAUUAUCUAAGCAGGACUGACCUAAUCUCAUGAGCCCUUUAAAUCUGGGUCUAGAGGUGAGAAACAAAGAAAAUCUAAACCCUACAAUAGUCCGUAACUCCACAAAAUCUGUGCUGGGAUUUGCAGUCUCAUGUGCAGUCUUUUGACCUCUCACUCAUUGUCUAAAAUUUCUCUCCCUUUAAGCUAAUCCUUCCUCCUAUUUGGGAUAGAUAUCAUGUUCCUCCCUUAGGAUAAGACAUCUUAUAGUUUGAUGACCUGUUUUAAGAAACUAGCUCUGUAACUACUGCUGUUAAAAGUGUUACUGUCUUUUUUCAACUUCUAUGUUCUUCUGGAGAACUUUUUACAAUUGCUUUUGAUUAGACAAAAGAAAGUUAAGAUAAUACAACUCCACAGUAAGGCAUUUCAGUAUAGGAUUAGUCAGUAGUCCAAUUGUUCCUUGAUCUUCAGCCUUGAAGUAAAUUCAAUAGCAUAAAGGAUAGAAAAUUUGAUUAGACUCGAUGCAUGGGAAGAAGCAAAAAUAAGAGUAAGACAUAUAUAUCAGAUAAACCCUGUGAAAAUUGAGAUGCCUGUCUCAUCAGUGAAUUUCCUAGGGGAUCGGGGUUCUGGGUAUUUUGAGAAUGUCCUCCUUUAAAAUAAAACACAGGUUUUUGUAUUGUUGGUAGAUCUGUUUCAAUUUCAGAGUCAAUAUAUUCUAUAUUUGUACUUUUUGUUCUGAUCCAUGUUCCAUAGAACCCACCAUGUUGUUAGGUAUGAGAGGGGCCCAGAAUAAAGGAAGGCUUUGAAGUAAUUUCAGGCUAUUCUACGAAUUAUCAGGACACUCAGGUCUUAGGAACUAGUAGACCUAAUGGUGCUUAAAAUGGCUGUGGUAAAUAAAUCCAUUUGCAAAUCCUAAAAGAAAACUGUUUCAGAGAUCCCUAGGAUUUUGAGGUAAAGCCAUGCCUUUGCCUACUAGGCAGCACCUUAGAGCCAAUCAACCCUGGUAGAAAAUUCAUGCUUGACUGAGGGAAAUCUAAAUGAUGUGAACUGAACUGCUUGUCACAAUUAUUUGAUGUCAUCUGGAAUACCAAGAAAUAAUAUUUUUAUGUGUUCAGGAGAAAUAUUUCAUAAAGUGGAAAUAACUGAUCAAAUAUUAGAUUCAAGCCUCUUUAGAAGGCAUGGGGAAGUUGCAUGAGCCUCAAACUACAGCACAUAGCACCAUUUCCUAGGCUCCCAGGUCAGCUGGCUUCAUGCUUCUCUGGCAGUGGGAAACACAGGCAGCAAAGUGGAAGGUGGAAGUUGAGAGACAGAGUGUUUCUGCUUUCUUUCCCUUUCCAAUGCCAUCUUAAAUUUAUGGCUCUUCCCCUAGCCAGACAGGCUGGUACAUUUCUAGUUUUCGCUACACCACCCUAGCUUCGAGCUUCAUUAACACUUCUGUCUUCCUUUGUUCCUGUAGUGGCUUCCUGCUAUUUCCCCCUUUAUUUUCUGGUGUGAAUCACAGUCCAUUGCUUGGCUUCAUAGUAGCUCUAUUACCUGUUGCAACCAAUGCCAUAUAUUAAAUUCCUUCCAUUUAAAUGCUUGUAUUGAUUUUUGUUUUCUUGAUUGGAUGCUGAAUAAAGCAUACACAAAAUUUCAAAUUAUAUGAAAUUCUACUUAACCAAGUUAUAUGAAUAUUCAUAGUGAGUUAACAAUUAUGUUGCCAAUAAAAUGGGUGAUAAUGUAAUAUGGUUGAAUGCAUUAGAGCAACUUUUGAGAUUCCAUCUGUUUAAGAGAAUCAAAUAUAAAUUAGAAUGUCACUUGGGAAGCCAAGAGAUUGUCAAUAUAAGUGCUUUUUAAUAUUCCAGUAUGAAAAUUGUCUAUGUAUGUAUCUAUAUUUUCUUCUGUCAUUCUCUUUUUAUCAUUAUAAUUCAUUAUCCCUAAAACAGUGCUGUUUCAGAUACUUUGAAUUCAACAUUAACAACUAUUUCAAUGCAUACAUUUUAAAAGGAUAUAGCAUUAAAUAAUAUUUGUAUGUCCUCAAAAUAAAUUAUAAAAAAUAAUGACUCAAGGCAAAAUUUUUAAUUGUAAUGAAACCAAUAGUCUAUCUGGCGAAGAACGAAACUGGUCUAAGUUCCAAAUAUAUGAUAAACAAUAAUUUCUAAUUUGAUAAUACUCUAUUGUCUUCCAUACCAUUUCUUUGUUGGAUGAUUCAAAUUUUAAUCAAUUCAUUU